UUUCUGAUAUCAAAACAUGUAUAUUUUUCAAAUGUAACUUUAUGUAAGGCGGUGUCAUUGCCUUCGCUUAAUGAUGGCGGACAAAAUAGUAUACUUGGUGCUUUUUAUUUGUUUCGGAUACACACAUGGACAAAUGGAUACCUCAGUAUGUACUGGCCAAACUCCAGGCCCACAUGAUCCACCGGGACCACCGAAACUUCCGGACGCGUUCGAGGUUCACAUUGAGGGAAACAUUAACAACCGGAACUACACGAUUGACUUUCACCUUUGGUAUAACAAAACAAUGAAUCAAGUAGCCACCCAUACAACGAAUGCUGGUAAUCGGUUGGAGCAUCUGUAUAGAUUCGACACAAAUGAGCUAUAUGUUGUGGACAGGGACCAGGGAAUCUGUACAGUGAAACCUUUAACCAGCGGUUUUCGGGCCUUCCUCUUUGCUACAGUAACAGGCGGACAUGCAAAAAUGAAGACAAUUGAACAGUUCAUGCGUUUCAAUGUGACAGGUAUACAAGAAAAGUGGAUUAACCAGACAGUGGUGCGCGGAAUCACGUGCAAUAUGUGGCGGGAAUGUCUGUACGAUGCGAAGAGAAACUCAACGAUGGUAGUCGACUGGUAUUUCAGCGUCCCUGGUUGGUACAACGCAAAGUUAUUGGAUCAAAUUCCAAUACGAGCGCACGUGUUUGGAUCCACGGUUAUGAAGAAUGGACAGAAACGAUCAUUUGAUCAUAUGUACGAAUUUUCGUACCUAAACGUACAAUCGGAAGGCGUUCAUCUUUAUGAUUUACAGACGCCUGCUGGUGUGUACUGCCCACGUGCAAAGAAUAUGAAACCUCUACCUACACCCACAUCAUCAUUCCAUUUUACCGCCGAGAUUUUGUUCGGACAGUCCAUUUCAAGAAUAAAGGAAUGGUACGACAGUGACUUGAACCUUGUCAGGUACGACUAUGACCCUUUGGGCACACAGAAAUAUGGAACUCUACCACUGACACAGGUCCACGACUUUAGUACAGGAGUUGCUUAUGUUAUUGACACGUUGCGUGGUAACUGCACAGCGACACCGAUCAGCAGUACUGGAUUUGACGUCAGGAACGCUGACCCAUCGCACGUGCGGAUAAGGACAUCAAAAGAAUUCUUCUACUUCGAUAAAGCAUCUUAUGUCUACGAAGGACGGAGACAGGUCCGCGGUAUAACGACUGACGUGUGGAUAGCCCAGAGAAAUGAUUGGCCAAAGGCUGGCUCGCCUAACUCUACGUGGGAAUGGUAUUUUGCAACGCCAAACUACACCGCUAAUCUGAUGCAAAAACCCACAUUUGGUUUACCUGUGCGAAUGGUACUAGAUGCUGGAAUUGGUCAACACUAUAUCUACAACAUCUACGACUAUGAUGAGAGAAGACCUAUGAUCUGGUCCUACGACAUCAGUAAUUGUUUUAACUACUCUGAACGUCAAGAUUUCACCUUCAGACUACCAGGAAGUUAUAGGAAACUGGUCAAUGGUAAUAUGGAACUGUUCCGGUAUGCGGUCCUCCAGGCGAUAGUUAUAGCGGGUACCAGCAAUAAGUUACAGCUAUCGGCUCUCAGGGUUUACAAUAUACAGAUUGAUUAUGCAGACAACAGCGAUAUUAUUGUACAGUUCACAUUGUUAGACAAAGCCCCUCAAGUAGGUGAUGUUAGUAAUCCGAAGCAAGAAAACAGCCUCGCUGUGGCUGCAAAGUCCAUUUCCGGUGCUAUAAACAGCGGACAGCUUAUCGUCCGUCUGCAAAUUCCACCGACAACGGCCAACAUGGUCGCUCAGCGCUAUUCAGUUGUCUCCGGGUCGGGAUGGUGAAAGAUGCAUAUUAUAAACAGACAAAGCCAGGAAGUACCUCAACUACAGGCGUUUCCGGUGGGGCCAUGGCAGGUAUGGGAGUAGCGUUGUUGGUCAUAUUUUUCAUUAUUGGAGUGGCCGCUACAUACUUCUAUUAUAGAAGACAAGGUGGUGCAUUUGGACCUCAAAAGAUUGAUAGUACUGACAUUACAUCGACUG
rnacentral:misc_RNA from 1 species